CAGUAGCCACGGUAAAACGGAGGGUGCAAGCGUUAUCCGGAUUUAUUGGGUUUAAAGGGUCCGUAGGCGGAUCUGUAAGUCAGUGGUGAAAUCUCACAGCUUAACUGUGAAACUGCCAUUGAUACUGCAGGUCUUGAGUAAAUUUGAAGUGGCUGGAAUAAGUAGUGUAGCGGUGAAAUGCAUAGAUAUUACUUAGAACACCAAUUGCGAAGGCAGGUCACUAAGAUUUAACUGACGCUGAUGGACGAAAGCGUGGGGAGCGAACAGGAUUAGAUACCCCCGUAGUCCCUGUCUCUUAUAC
rnacentral:rRNA from 1 species